GCCAGACUCCUACGGGAGGCAGCAGUGGGGAAUAUUGCGCAAUGGGGGCAACCCUGACGCAGCAACGCCGCGUGCAGGAAGAAGGUCUUCGGAUUGUAAACUGUUGUCGCAAGGGAAGAAGACAGUGACGGUACCUUGUGAGAAAGUCACGGCUAACUACGUGCCAGCAGCCGCGGUAAUACGUAGGGGGCAAGCGUUAUCCGGAUUUACUGGGUGUAAAGGGAGCGUAGACGGCAGUGCAGGCCCGGAGUGAAAGCCCGGGGCUCAACCCUGGGACUGCUCUGGAAACUGUAAAGCUGGAGUGCGGGAGGGGCAGGCGGAAUUCCUGGUGUAGCGGUGAAAUGCGUAGAUAUCAGGAGGAACACCGGCGGCGAAGGCGGCCUGCUGGACCGCGACUGACGUUGAGGCUCGAAAGCGUGGGGAGCGAACAGGAUUAGAUACCCUUGUA
rnacentral:rRNA from 1 species